CCCCUCUCACCGGAGUCACUGGCACACACGUCUCUGCUUUGUCGGAUAAAGAAAGGAAAGGUUGAAGAAACAUAAGGCCAAACAGAUCUCAAUCCGAUAGAUCAUCUAUCUGAUGUGCUGGACAACAAGUCGGACCCAUGGAGGCCCCACCUCACAACUUACAGGACUUAAAGGAUCUGCUGCCUGAUGUCUUAGUGCCAGAUACCACAGCACACCUUCAGAGGCUUUGUGGAGAGCAUGCCUUUACAAGUCAGAGCUGUUUUUGUGGUACAAAGAGGACCAACACUAUAUUAGGUAGGUAUAUUACAAAAACCUGUAAAGCUGCACAACAAGAAAAAUUCUGUAAUUAACUUACUCAUAAUUACGCACUCUGCCCAUUCCAUGCAGUCUAAAGAGUUACAAUAUCUGUAAAUACAUUAUUCUCCCUGUGUUCACAGUGUGUGUGUGUGUGUGUGUGUGUUAAUGAAUUGCAUGGUGCGUUGUUGCUGACCACUCCUAAAAUGAUAAUGUGACAACAUCCAUCAGGAAUCAAUGGUAAGCAACAGGGUGAGCCAGGGCUGGCGUUGCUGUCAUUAUAGAGUAAAUAUUUAUGAGUGGCACUGACUGAUUCCUUUGGCUUAGUCAAUCUUUUUCCAGGGGAGAUGGUGAAAUGAUCAGCUUCACACUCUGGAGCUGUCCCUCCUGCUAAUGGCCAUCAGAGCAGGACACGGAGGUUUGAUUUCCACAUGCAGCGCCAUCAUUCACAGCCUGUCGCUCCUGUUCAUUCUCCAUACAUGGCUGCCGGAUUGAUCGUCUGUUUAGUGCUAUGAAGGAUAGAGUCGAAUAAAGCGACAGAAGAGAGAUGAUUAACCCCACAGUCUGUGAGUUUCGAUUCCUGGAAUUUCGUUACCUAGCAAGUACUCUCUUUCUUCUUAUAACACAAUAUGAUAGCAUAACUGUUUAUCUUGGUGUAUGGCGGUUAUAGCUUCAUGUUAACUUUCAUUUAUAUCUUCUAUCUGUUACUAUAUCUGUUUUUCUUUUCUCUUUCAGAAUUCGAAGUUCAUCCUGUUUUAUUCCAUAAUGCUCAGAUACAGUAUAGCAUAGACCAGCUAUCUAAAGCACUGGCUUCCACCUGGUCCUGGACAAGCCUCUGUCCUGUACAUAUUUGUGUUUUCAGUGCUCUCAGCACACCCGAUUAAAUUAAUGAAAGAUUAUUCUAAUUAUUUUCAGUCAUUUGAUUUGGAUAGUCCAAAGUAUGUACUAUACAAACCAUCACAAAGCAAGCUAUUUUAACGACAUUCUGUUUUAAAUAUCAUAAAGUGUAUCAAUAGACGCCCUAUGCAGAUGGAUAUUAUUGUUAUAAUAAAUAUUCAGCAAUCAUAAACCGGACCAUGUGAAAAAAAAAAAAAAGCAAAGCAAAAGUGAUGAGUUCAUUUUAAUUUAGCCGUAUCUGCUAAACAUUAUCAACCAUAAACUGGAGAUUUAUUGUUUAGAAAUAGAUAAUAGAAGUCACAUAUUCAUCAGGUUUUUGUUGAUGAUGAUAAACUUUUAAAUCACAUUUUAUUACGUGUGACCUAACGGCAAUGAAUUACUAAUACAACUGAACACUUGUGCCCAUUGUAGUUAUAUUUUUCUUUUGUUAACAGAAACUGAACAGCAGUACCUCAUAUGAAACUGUUAUGUAAGAAAAAGUGGAAGUGUUGCUUAAGUUCUUUGCUCCUUGGUCACAAGAGCAGUGCAGGGAUGUGCCCAUCUGAACCCUUCCUCUGAUUGCACUGCACAUUUUCUGCUGAAUCGGGCCACUUUACCAAGUGCUGGACGUCACUCUGAUGUGACCCAUCUGGUGACCCCUACUCACUCAGGGCACACUAAGUUCUACAAAGUAUUGCUGUACCGUUUAAUGACAGUGCUUUAGACCUCUUAGUACUAAAACUAGGCCUCUCGGGCUCUCUGCUGGCUCUUAAAGUGGCCUGCUGCAUUAUAAUUUCGCAGCUCUCCGGCUACCUGUCUGUGCACUUAAGAAAGAGCGGCUGUGGGAUCUGCUUUAGUGCCGCAUGCAGGGCUGAGCAUGUGUUAUUUCUGUGUCUCCGGUGUCAUCUUUCUCUUUAUCUGCAGAAGCAGGCGAGGAAAGGGAGCAUGAGAGCACAUGAUAUUUCCUCAUUUCCCUCCAUAAUCUGUCAGUCUGGAUGAAGGCAGUGUAAAAAGGCUACGUCUCCUUAUUUUAAACUUCUAAAAGCUUGACUGAAAAUCCCUUAACAUGUGUAAUUCUCACAAGUCUACAUGUCCUCUUUUUUUUCACCCCCAUUGUGCGCAGAUUAGGCUUUCACCAACCAAACCGAUUACUUCAGUCAACACAGAGUGAAAGCAUCCCCCCCCACACACACACACACACAGAUCUGCUAAAUGUCAGCAAAGCGCUUUUGAGCGCAAUCUUAAUUUGACUUGGAAUUAGUCUCUUUUCUCUUUUUUUUGUGCCAAUGAUCUAAUUAUUCAGACAGGUCUCUGCUUUGUGAGAACAUCAUGUGAAGAGAAGCCCAUGACAUUGCUGAGAGAUAGAAAAAUAGAGAUACACAUAAAGAGGGAAAGGAAAUGAUGCUGUGCUGGAUCCUAAAUGAAUCGUAUUCACCAUCUA